rnacentral:tRNA from 1 species
ACUUAUUUGGCGAAAUUGGUAUACGCGGCAGAUUUAAAAUCUGCUCUCUUAGGAGGUGUUGGUUCAAGUCCAAUAGUAAGUA